AUUGAACGCUGGCGGCAUGCUUUACACAUGCAAGUCGAACGGUAACAGGCCGCAAGGUGCUGACGAGUGGCGAACGGGUGAGUAGUGCAUCGGAACGUGCCCAGUCGCGGGGGAUAACGCAGCGAAAGCUGCGCUAAUACCGCAUACGAUCUAUGAAUGAAAGCGGGGGACCGUAAGGCCUCGCGCGAUUGGAGCGGCCGAUGUCAGAUUAGGUAGUUGGUGGGGUAAAGGCUCACCAAGCCAACGAUCUGUAGCUGGUCUGAGAGGACGACCAGCCACACUGGGACUGAGACACGGCCCAGACUCCUACGGGAGGCAGCAGUGGGGAAUUUUGGACAAUGGGCGCAAGCCUGAUCCAGCAAUGCCGCGUGCAGGAAGAAGGCCUUCGGGUUGUAAACUGCUUUUGUACGGAACGAAACGGCUCUGGUUAAUACCUGGGGCUAAUGACGGUACCGUAAGAAUAAGCACCGGCUAACUACGUGCCAGCCGCCGCCGUAACAC
rnacentral:rRNA from 1 species